rnacentral:rRNA from 1 species
CUGCCCGAUAGAGGGGGAUAACUACUGGAAACGGUAGCUAAUACCGCAUAAUCUCUCAGGAGCAAAGCAGGGGAACUUCGGUCCUUGCGCUAUCGGAUGAACCCAUAUGGGAUUAGCUAGUUGGUGAGGUAACGGCCCACCAAGGCAGUGAUAGGUAGCCGGCCUGAGAGGGUGAACGGCCACAAGGGGACUGAGACACGGCCCUUACUCCUACGGGAGGCAGCAGUGGGGAAUAUUGGACAAUGGACCAAAAGUCUGAUCCAGCAAUUCUGUGUGCACGAUGAAGUUUUUCGGAAUGUAAAGUGCUUUCAGUUGGGAAGAAGUCAGUGACGGUACCAACAGAAGAAGCGACGGCUAAAUACGUGCCAGCAGCCGCGGUAAUACGUAUGUCGCAAGCGUUAUCCGGAUUUAUUGGGCGUAAAGCGCGUCUAGGCGGCUUAGUAAGUCUGAUGUGAAAAUGCGGGGCUCAACCCCGUAUUGCGUUGGAAACUGCUAAACUAGAGUACUGGAGAGGUAGGCGGAACUACAAGUGUAGAGGUGAAAUUCGUAGAUAUUUGUAGGAAUGCCGAUGGGGAAGCCAGCCUACUGGACAGAUACUGACGCUAAAGCGCGAAAGCGUGGGUAGCAAACAGGAUUAGAUACCCUGGUAGUCCACGCCGUAAACGAUGAUUACUAGGUGUUGGGGGU